rnacentral:rRNA from 1 species
GAUGAACGCUGGCGGCGUGCCUAAUACAUGCAAGUCGAGCGAACAGACGAGGAGCUUGCUCCUCUGACGUUAGCGGCGGACGGGUGAGUAACACGUGGAUAACCUACCUAUAAGACUGGGAUAACUUCGGGAAACCGGAGCUAAUACCGGAUAAUAUAUUGAACCGCAUGGUUCAAUAGUGAAAGACGGUUUUGCUGUCACUUAUAGAUGGAUCCGCGCCGCAUUAUCUAGUUGGUAAGGUAACGGCUUACCAAGGCAACGAUGCGUAGCCGACCUGAGAGGGUGAUCGGCCACACUGGAACUGAGACACGGUCCAGACUCCUAAGGGAGGCAGCAGUAGGGAAUCUUCCGCAAUGGGCGAAAGCCUGAAGGAGCAACGCCGCGUGAGUGAUGAAGGUCUUCGGAUCGUAAAACCCUGUUAUUAGGGAAGAACAAAUGUGUAAGUAACUAUGCACGUCUUGACGGUACCUAAUCAGAAAGCCACGGCUAACUACGUG